rnacentral:rRNA from 1 species
UACGUAGGGUGCAAGCGUUGUCCGGAAUUAUUGGGCGUAAAGAGCUCGUAGGCGGCUUGUCGCGUCGAAUGUGAAAACUCGGGGCUCAACUCCGAGCUUGCAUUCGAUACGGGCAGGCUAGAGUUCGGUAGGGGGAGACUGGAAUUCCUGGUGUAGCGGUGAAAUGCGCAGAUAUCAGGAGGAACACCGAUGGCGAAGGCGGGUCUCUGGGCAGUAACUGACGCUGAGGAGCGAAAGCGUGGGGAGCGAACAGG